rnacentral:tRNA from 1 species
GCUCCGCGGUAGCGCACACCAAUAUGCAAACUUGGAGAAGCACCCCAAAGGUGCCGGGGCUUCUCCCGUUUUUUAAUUAGACGGGAGAAGG